GGAUGCGAUCAUACCAGCACUAAAGCACCGGAUCCCAUCAGAACUCCGAAGUUAAGCGUGCUUGGGCGAGAGUAGUACUAGGAUGGGUGACCUCCUGGGAAUUCCUUGUGUUGCAUUCC
rnacentral:rRNA from 1 species